AGUGAACGCUGGCGGUAGGCCUAACACAUGCAAGUCGAACGGCAGCACAGUAAGAGCUUGCUCUUACGGGUGGCGAGUGGCGGACGGGUGAGGAAUACAUCGGAAUCUACUUUUUCGUGGGGGAUAACGUAGGGAAACUUACGCUAAUACCGCAUACGACCUACGGGUGAAAGCAGGGGAUCUUCGGACCUUGCGCGAUUGAAUGAGCCGAUGUCGGAUUAGCUAGUUGGCGGGGUAAAGGCCCACCAAGGCGACGAUCCGUAGCUGGUCUGAGAGGAUGUGAUCAGCCACUGUAACUGAGACACGCGCCCGACACCCACGGGAGAGGCCGGUGUGGAAUAUUUGAGAAAAGGGGCACACCUGUUACAGCGAUACCCCGUGUGUGAAGAGGAGCCCCGGGGUUUAAAGCCCUUUUGUGUGGAAAGAGAAAAAGCAGAGUUAAACCCCGCGGUGCUGUCGGGACCCAAAGAGUAAGCACCCGCUCUCUCCUUG
rnacentral:rRNA from 1 species